rnacentral:lncRNA from 1 species
UUAUUUUAUCUUAUUUUGCAUUGAGACUAAGAUUUGAAUGGUUUGCAUUUUCAGGAUCACUUUCCUAACUUUUACAGGAUGCAGGGUUUUGAUGACAUGCAUGUUGCCUAUAGAGACAAUGCUCAGAGGGAGCGCUACAUUGCUUUGUAUCAGCGCCCUAUGGCACCCACACGUUACCCUGAUCAGCACUGUAUGGAGGCACUGGGUAUCGAGCC